rnacentral:rRNA from 1 species
AGAGUUUGAUUCUGGCUCAGAACGAACGCUGGCGGCGCGUUUAAGCAUGCAAGUCGAGCGGCAAGGGCCUUCGGGCCCCUAGAGCGGCGGACGGGUGAGUAACACGUGGACAAUCUGCCCCCCGGUCGGGGAUAGCCCAUGGAAACAUGGGGUAAUACCGGAUGCGACCGGCCGCGCACAAGCGCGGGCGAGGAAAGGCGCCAAGGCGCCGCCGGGGGAUGAGUCCGCGGUCCAUUAGCUAGUUGGCGGGGUAACGGCCCACCAAGGCGACGAUGGAUAGCCGGCCUGAGAGGGCGAUCGGCCACAUUGGGACUGAGACACGGCCCAGACUCCUACGGGAGGCAGCAGCUAAGAAUCUUCCGCAAUGGACGCAAGUCUGACGGAGCGACGCCGCCGUGAACGAAGAAGGCCGUGAGGUUGUAAAGUUCUUUUCGGGAGGGGGAACAACCGUGGCAGGGAAUGGCCGCGGGAUGACGUGAAUCCCGGAAUAAGCCCCGGCUAACUACGUGCCAGCAGCAGC